CAGGACUCUGUUGCUUUUGCUACCAAAGACUAACAAGGCCUGCGAACUGCAAAUUUAUGAACUGGAAAAGGAAACACACAGGCAAGGUAACUGAUCUGUAAAUAUUUGUUGACAACUGAGAAAUAUGUGUUCAUUGGGUGCUAUGUUACAUAAAAAAUAGGUAUAUUUCCACAUCAGUGGAUGUUGAAAUGGAACAAAAGCUUGUGCAAAAUAAUACAGUUGCAGCAGAACUAAAAGUACUGGAUACAAACAAUAGUUAGAAUGGACUGGGGCACGUUUGUACAUUCCUAGUUUGAACUGGAGAUAUACACUAUUUUCCUCCCACUCUCUUAGUCAUCAGGUGACACCUUACACAAACCUCUGAGCUUUCCAUUGCACAGACAUUCAUUGAUGGCAGACAGAUUAAAAAUGUUAAUCAUAUUCACUUUCUAACAAUUUCACCAAAGAAGUACCUUAUUUUAUUCUCUCAGUACGCUGAAGAAUUGAUGUUUUUGAAUUAUGGUGCUGGAGGAGACUCUUGAGAGUCCCAUGGACUGCAAGAAGAUCAAACCUAUCCAUUCUUAAGGAAAUCAGCCCUGAGUGCUCACUGGAAGGACAGAUCCUGAAGCUGAGGCUCCAAUACUUUGGCCACCUCAUGAGAAGAGAAGACUCCCUGGAAAAGACCCUGAUGUUGGGAAAGAUGGAGGGCACAAGGAGAAGGAGAAGGCAGAGGACAAGAUGGUUGGAUAGUGUUCUCGAAACUACCAGCAUGAGUCUGACCAAACUGUGUCGGACACGACUAAACGACUAAACAACAACAACAACAAUAACAAGCCCUGUGAGGUGCGCUAGAACAAGGGAGCGUGGCUGGCUCAAAGUCACCAGAUAAACUCGUGAGUGAUUGAAAAAUUGCGUCCCGGUCUCUCCAGCACUCUUUCUGCUCCAUUCACUUUGGGUGGCAGAAAAGAAAAGUAAGGUGCCCUGCCAGGAAAUAAAAGAUUUUCUAUCUCUUUUAACAUCAGAGGUAAAGCCAGCACCCAAGAACCACACUGAAAUGCUUUCUGAAAUCAUCCUCAUUGUGCAAGAUUUUCUCCUCUUCUCUCAAAAGGUGGUUGUGGAGGAAGACAGUCAACCUCCCAUUCCAUCCAAGUCUCCUGCUGUGAUUAGAAACUCAAAUCAUUUUUCUUCUUCUCUUGUAAAAAAAGGAAGAAAAAGUUCCAGGUGUAGAAAUAUUACUUUUGGUGCGUUGAUUACUAUGACAACCCUUCAGAGAUUUGUAUCUAUCUUUACGUCUGAGGUUUUGCUCUCACUGAAAAGAAGAAUUACCUGGGUUGGAUCUUGAUGGCCAUUUAUUUUUAAUCAUUUUCUUUGGAUACCAUCCUGACAGAGAAAAGGAAAUCUGCCUGGAUGCAUCCAGAUUUAUUUUUUUUAAGGUCUCUUGCAACAAAUUCUGUACUUCACAUUCUCUGCUAGUCUUUUAAAUAGGAAAAGGAGUUCCCCACCUUGCAAGAAUUGAGGGGAAAUUGUUUUAAGAAGUCUAACGAACAAACAGGGAUAUCAAACAAAAGCUGAGGAUUAAGAGAUAGGCAGUUUAUAGAAGAAUUUCAUUCCAAUAGAUGGGCAUUGGUCUUUUCAAAGCUUAGUUGUGAAGCUGGCCCAUGUAACUUUUUCAGCUCUUAAAUGUUGAAGAAAAUUAAGCACAACAAAGCAUCAAACAUUAAAAACUUCCCUAUACAGGGCUGCCUUCAGAUAUCUUCUAAAAGUCAGGUAAUUGUUUAUUUCUUUGACAUCUGAUGGGAGGGUGUUCCACAAGGCAAGAAGGCCCCUUUGCUUGGUUCGCUGUAACUUCACUUCUCGCAAUGAGGGAACCGCCAGAAAGCCCAUGGGGCUGGAUUUCAGUGUCUAGGCUGAACCAAUUCCCUAGAUUGCUGCCUCCCUGUUUCCUCUGCUUGUAAUUGAUGUAGAGAAUCCAAAUGCUGCAACACUGAGGUAAAGUUGUUGUAAGUAAAAGGAGAUAUAUUGCCAUAAAGACAUACUGCUGGAGGGGGUGGGGCAGUACUAAGCCUAUAAUAGUUGAAGCCUGUUCCACCAUUUGGUUUUCUGUAGAAUGUUUCCUUUCAGUAGGAAAAUAGCUCAAAUGGUGUUCGGUUGUGAUUUGUGUUGCAUGUGAUAUAAGUGAAUGGGACACAAAGGCAGUCUUUCACUUUUAUGUGCGCGUUAUGUGAUUUGUUUGUUUGUGCUAGAGUACUUUGUGCCCACAGCUAAUGGAUUCUCUUGACUCACCUGGGUUGCAUAAAGAAAAUUAAUAGGACUACAGAAUAUGAGGGAGAGGAGAUGGGGCAACUUUCAUUUUCCACAGUUAACAUUUCUGUUCUUCCUACAUUGUUUUAACUUAUUUGACUGAAGAUGGAAAGUUCACUGGUGAUGAAGGAGUCAAUUCAGCUGUUACACAUCUGGAACCCUUUGAAUAGGGCUAUAAAACUGCAAAUCUUCAUAUAUAAAUCUUCUUGUGAAUUAAGGAUGUUCAAGGAAUUCAUUCUUUUGAAUUCUGAUCUGUGCCUCCACAGAUGCUUUCUUAAAUCAUCCUGGUACUACACUUCCUAAUAUUCCAUCAGAGAUCUUGGCUAGCAACAAAAAGGUGUUGUUGUUGUUUAGUCGUUUAGUCGUGUCCGACUCUUCGUGACCCCAUGGACCAGAGCACGCCGGGCAAAAAGGUAGCCAAAUGCAAAAGAAAGCUGUUUAGAAAAGUUCGUUUCGGGAGAAAAUUAGUUUAAAGCCCAUAUUUAUAUGUGAUUUGUGUGUAGACUUGAACAAUAAAUAAUUAUCACACUGAUGCAGGAAUGGAACAGAUUUGUGAGUGAACACGCAGGAAACUGCUAUGAACAGGAACCUGACUGAUUUACCUGUCUCUGCUGGAAAAUACAUUUGCUGAACUUUGAAACUGAAAUAGUACUGCACUGCCUGGAAAUGUGCUAGGUACCAUUGCUUACUCUGAGAUUCAGUAAUUUAUUUCUGCAUUCCAAAUUUGAUACAGCCUAAGCAAGAAGAACAAUGGUUUUCAAGCACAUUCUCAUCCAUUUCUCUUUAGCAUUACAAAUAGUAGCUUGCAUAGCUAUUCUUUCGUUCUGUGAUGGAAAGAAGAAAGGCAAAGGCUGUCAGGGGAAGCUGGUUACCCUAGGGAAGGUCUUAUUCAUUUAUUUAUUUUUAAAUAAUAUUUAUUAGUAGUUUCAGAAUUAUAGAAAAUAAAGAAAAAAUAAAAAGCAACACAAUAAUACAUAAAAAAGAAAAAAAAAACCAGAAACCAAUACAACAGUACAGCAAAAAGAUAAAAAGGAAAAAGGUGAAGAAGGAGAUUAAGAUGGCGGCUGUAACAACUUCUCCUUCGUGAACCCUCCGGAUUACAAACCUUUUAUAGCCUUUUAUAGCCUUUUACUGCCGUUUUUAUAGUUGUUUUAUUAGACUUUUAAAUUAUUUUACUUCUGUUAGAAGUUUUUAAUCGUUUUACUUCUACGGUUGGCCUGUUGGUGCCAAUAUACGUAUCAACAAGGAUAUUCAAACCCUCUGCUGAGAAAGCCUGUCGCUGAUUAGUAACGCCGCCUUGAAGACUGGGCUAUGUUGAGAAGUGGAGGAGGAGUAGCAGAGGAGUUGUGCCCAUAAAAGAUAAGUUCUCUCUUUUAUCUCCGUUUAUCUCUACUUUGAACCUCUGUAGUUAGUGAGACAGCGACAAAUGGGUCAUGGCAAGCGACCAAGAUCUGCUGAGAAAGGUUGCUCACCUCCAAGAGUAAAGCAGUCGAAGCUUGAAUCUCCCCCCACCAUCUACUAACAAUAACAGCAAAACAGAGCAAGUAAUUGUUUCUGCGGUCGAAACAUACAACCGCUUUUGGCCUCUGUAUGAUCAAGGAGAGCCGGAAAAGCUAGCUGAUCCAGCGGGGGACGGAAGCCAUAGGGAAGCCCUCCUCCCUGAUACCCUAAUUACACCUCCGUCAUUGAAACGGGACGCAUUAGGGCAAACUGCCCAUGAAUUAGUACCUGAUCAAAUACAACUGGUAAUCAGGACUUUAAGCUUCAUUUUCAAGGAAUUGGAGGAUUUCUUUGACAUUGAAUAAACUUUCACGGGCCCUUCUGGCUCAUCUACCUUCCUCAACUGAGCUAUCUAAUUUGCAUCAAUCUCCUGUGCAGCUUGUAAGUGCCUUAAAGAGACAACCUGACCAGAAAUUUCACCUUAAGAGCUCAAGAUGCAGGCCGCCACUGCCCCAAAGGAAUAGGCAAUCCUUGAUUUUUCAACCUAAUAAAAUAUGUCUAGCCAUUUUUUCCCGUGACGCCCCCAGACUUAGGUGGAAUAACCUGAGGAUGGCUAAAGGGUACCUACGUGAUUUGUUAAAUAUUCCUUUUUUCCAGAUAGAUCUUAUAUCUGUAGUACCCCUAAUUGCCACGCCCUGGCCAAGGAAAUUUAUGCUCUCCUUCCAGUCUGCAAGGAUCCCACAUCUCCUUGCAAGAGAGAAAGGAAGACAAAAAAAACCCACAAAUCCCAAAUUACAUAUCUAUAACUUCCAUUUGCUUGUUUCAUUGACCUCCUCACACCUCCCUUCUUGCAUUCUAGUUCAAUUAGUUAUUUCAGCAAAUUCUUUCCAUCUUUCUCAAUUUUUGUUACAAAAUUUAUCUUAACAAUUUAACCUAAUAAUUAGCUCAACAAAUCCUUUCCAUCUUUCCCCAUAUUCUGUUAUUCAAAUUACCUUAGUUUAUUUAACCUUAUCUUACCCUAAAAUACCUUAAAGCUUAAGUCUUAGUUUUCAAAUAUACAUAACUCCUGAUAUCAUUUCUGCUAGAGUCAUAUAGUUUCAUUCCAACAUUUUCCCUAAUAUUCAUUAAUUUUAAGCUAAUUCCCUAAAUAGAAAGUUUUUAUUUAUAAUUUUUUCCAAUCUUCAUCCAACGUCUCUUCUUCCUGGUCUUGGAUCGUGUCAGUCCUUACUGUCUAUUCCAUCUAGUCCAUCAACCUGGAAGCCUUAUGUCCGAGGCCCUUAAGUCUCUUCCAUGUCCCUUCUGCAGUUCUUCUUCUUCUUGUUUAUACUUGCCCUUUUCCUUGUCUUUUGUUGGUCUCUUUCUUAAUUUCUUUCCUUUCUCAUUGAGGAGUAGGUCCCUGGGGAAUUCCAACCCAAAAUUGUCUCCAUCUCGGACUUCCGGGGUGGCGCCUCCGGAAAAUGGCGGAAUUCCCUUCGAACUGAAGGGAACCCGCUGCACGGAGGCUUGGGUCCUGCCGCUACGGCGCAGCGGGGACCCUUAAAAACCACAGGCGGAAGAAGCCUGUGGGCGUGGGACUCGGCGGGCACCGAGAGCGCUCUCUCCCCUUGUACAGGAGCCCGGUAGACUUGAACUUGAAAUUGAAUUUAAUUGGGACUCGGAACGGAAAGGUCUAAACAGGAAGUCGCCUUCCGUUCUUUUGUUACGUGAAGAAAGCAAAGACAAAUUAUACUAAAGCCUGAAAACUAAAUUCUGAGAGAACUAAAAUUCAACAUCUAAGAUUUCUGAAACCCCUUUGAUUGCAGGAGAAGAAGGGGUUGUUUUGAUCUUUUCAACCCUGCGGAAGUGAGUUUAAAAUAAAGUAAUUUUCCACCGCCCUGAACCAGGAGCGGGCUGUCAGAACUGACGUUUUGAAGCUUAUCCAGCUCGACAGAUAGUUAAAAGAAGGGUAACAUUUUGAUUCUACUGUUGCCUCUUGAAUUUGAAAGGGGGAAUUUUGGAUAAAGUGUUUCUGGAAAAAGAAAGAUUGUUACUGUUGUUUUUCCCCCUCUUAAAAAAAAAAAAAAAAAGGGUUUUCCAUCUAGUGGAACUGAGUGAAAUUGCAAUGCAGAGAGUUUAAAAGAGAAGGAUCAUUCUCGUGGGAAAGAAUUUUUUCUGACCUUGAAGGACAAUGCUUGUACAAAGGCUUGAACAAGUGUUCCUGGAAGGUUUUGCAAAAUUAAGUGCCCAGCUGGACCAGAUGCGUCAGGAGUCGACCUUGAUGAGGACGGAAGUUACCAGAGCACAGCAGCAAACAAAUGAAAUUCAGUUAAAGUCUAUACAAGUAUAUGAACCUGCUGUAGCGACGGAGGCUUCAGAGAUGGAGGGACCUAUGGAUGGGCAAGAUCAGUCUUUGAACUUGAUAAAUGAACUUGGGACAAACCUGAUUCGGAAAGAUGAAAUGUGGUCAGAUUUGGAAAUGGGGGGAUGGAUUGAUACCCCUCUAUAUGGUUAUUUGGACUUUCCGAGUCUAGUGAUGGGCCAUCAGAGGAAUGGAGUAGUCGAAGUCUCCAAGUUUUGUGGAAAUUGGAAGUGGUAUUAUCUGCUGUCUGGCUUGGGUAAUGGGUUUGGGAUGGACUUGCUGCAAAGAGUCAAAAGCAUCUUCUUGCUGGAGUAUCCACGACUGAAAGGGAAAUAUCAACAAGAGUGGCGAAAGGGGCAAGAAAGAGACUUGAGGGCCUCGGAUACGAGACAACCAGGUUAAGGAGCUGGAUUAUUGAGGUUAAAAGGACUGACAAUCCCGGGUCCAGGGGAGGGAGGCUGGAAGUUGACUGGAUUGAAUCUGACUUAUUGUUUUUGCUUUCUUAUUUUUAAUAUUGUGAAUGUUUAUAAAUGUUUGAAGGAUGUUGAAUUAAAUUAUAUGUCUUUAGUAAUGAUUGGUAAAUGAUUUGAAAAUAGGUAAUGAUGUAAGAAUUUGCUAAAUAUUGAAUAUAAGCUUUGAGUUUUAAAGUUUUUAUAUGACAAGAGGGAAAAUAGAAUAAGGAAACGCAAUGAUAGAUUGUUAUGAAAAAACAGAAAGGAUUUGCUGUAAAAAUUAAAUACUAAGAAACAAGAGAGGGAAGGAGGAGGAAGUCUAGAAAGGAAGUUAAUGGAGAUCGUAAAGGAUUUUAUAUUUCUGUUUUUCUGUUUUUCUUUUUUUCUUUUUUGCGGCUGGGUUUUUUCUUUUUUAUUAUUUCUGUAUUAUUUUUGUUUUAUUUGUAUUUUCAAACUUUUUUGGAAAUUUUUGUUGUUACUUGUUACUUUUUGAAAAUUUAAUAAAUAUCAAUUCUAAAAAAAACAAACAAAAUUGUCUCCAUCUCUCUUCAUCAAACCCGCCCAUUCCCCACAGACCCACCCCCCACAGUCAUCGAUAUAAUCCAAAAAGUAUUUAAAGGCAUGUUUCCAGGUCUCUUCAAAGUUAAGAACCUCCUCAGCUCCAAACUCCCCCUGGCCCACUCCAGCUUCAAUCUUCAAUGACAGGUCUUAUUCAAAGUGACCAUAAGAAUGCACAAGCACACCAACAUUCCAAAAAUUAGGUACUAUGCAGGUAUGGGCCAGUGUUUCCCAAAAUGGGCAAUACCACCACCUUGGGGAGCAGUAUUAGCCUCAGUUGCAAUUGGGAGGCAUUGAAUAAAAAUAAGGAGGCAGUGGAAGCAUAAAAAGAGGAAACUUUCUGUAUCCAGGAAACAAUUCCAAGAAACAAUUCUGUAUCCAGGGCAGCUGUCUACCAGCUCCAUCUGGUACGCAGGCUGAGACCCACCCUGCCCGCAGACUGCCUCGCCAGAGUGGAGCCUACUCAGCUUAUCUCCCGCUUGGACUACUGCAAUGCGCUCUCUGUGGGGCUACUUUUGAAGGUGACCUGGAAACAACAACUCAUCCAGAAUGUGGCAGCUAGACUGGUGACUGGGAGUGGCCGCCCAGACCACAUAACACGAGUCUUGAAAGACCUACAUUGGCUCCCAGUACGUUUCCGAGCACAAUUCAAAGUGUUGGUACUGACCUUUAAAGCCCUAAACAGCCUAGGCCCAGUAUACCUGAAGGAGCAUCUCCACCCCCAUCGUUCUGCCCGGACACUGAGGUCCAUCUCCGAGGGCCUUCUGGCAGUUCCCUCACUGUGAGAAGUGAGGUUACAGGGAACCAGACAGAGGGCCUUCUCGGUAGUGGCGCCCGCCCUGUGGAAUGCCCUCCCAUCAGAUGUCAAAUAGAUAAAAAACUACCUGAUAUUUAGAAGACAUCUGAAGGCAGCCCUGUUCAGGGAAGUUUCUAAUGUGUGACAUUUUAAUGUAUAUUUAAUCUUUGUUGGAAGCCACCCAGAGUGGCUGGGGAAACCCAGCCAGAUGAGCAGGAUACAAAUAAUAAAUUAUUAUUAUUAUUAUUACUUUUGGAAAACCACUGAAACAUGUUUCACCUGUUGUGUAAUGAUGCUUACCACCCGCUUGGGCACUGUUGCAGGACAGCGACAACGCCUCCCCAGGAUCUGGCAGUCAUGCUGGAGGCGAGGGGUUUUCCUGCACUUGGAUGAACCCUGUGUGUAAUUUGAAUAUUACUAUGGUGUCAUAUUUCUUCUUCAUGGAUCACUGCCUUGUCAAGGCGAAGGGGCUUGAAUAACUCAGAGAAGCUAUGAGCUAUGCCGUGCAGGGCCACCCAAGAUGGACAGGUCAUAGUGGAGAGUUUUGACUAAUUAUGAUCCACCUGGAGCAGCAACCAGCAAGCCGCACAAGUAUCCCUGCCAAGAAAAUUCAGUGGACAAAAACAAAAUAUGGUCUGAAGUUCAACAUCAAAAAAACCAAGAUCAUGGCCACUGGUCCCAUCACCUCCUGGCAAAUAGAAGGGGAAGAAAUGGAGGCAGUGAGAGAUUUUACUUUCUUGGGCUCCAUGAUCACUGCAGAUGGUGACAGCAGUCAUGAAAUUAAAAGACGCCUGCUUCUUGGGAGAAAAGCAAUGACAAACCUAGACAGCAUCUUAAAAAGCAGAGACAUCACUUUGCUGGCAAAAGUCCAUAGAGUUAAAGCUAUGGUUUUCCCAGUAGUGAUGUAUGGAAGUAAGAGCUGGACCAUAAAGAAGGCUGAUCGCCAAAGAACUGAUGCUUUUGAAUUUAUGCUUUUGAAUGAUGCUGGAGGAGACUCUUGAGAGUCCCAUGGACUUCAAGAACUUCAAACCAAUCCAUUCUUAAGGAAAUCAGCCCUGAAUGCUCAUUGGAAGGACAGAUCAUGAAACAGAUGCUCCAAUAUUUUGGCCACCUUGUGAGAAGAUAAUACUCCCUGGAAAUGACUGUGAUGUUGGGAAAGAUUGAGGGCACAAGGAGAAGAGGACGACAGAGGAUGAAAUGGUUGGACAGUGUACUCAAAGCUACUAACAUGAGUCUGACCAAACUGCGGGAGGCAGUGGAACACAGGAGUGCCUGGCAUGCUCUGGUUCAUGGGGUCACAAAGAGUCAGACACGACUAAACGACUAAAGAACAGCAACAAAUGGUGUCAUAUUUACAACAUCAUUUCCUUUACUAUGUUGUAGGAAGUAAGUGGAAAUAAAGAUGCGUAAAAGAAUGCAAAUUGGUCACUGCAUGGUGGAUUGGUUAAAUUCAGAUCUACAGAUUAGUCUGGGAGGUGUAUAUCUUUCACCAGGUACAACAAAUACAUUGGGGUUGGUGCAGUGACUCUUCAGGGUCUAUGACCUCUUCCUUUUUCUUACUUUGGUACCUGAAUCCUUUUAAUUGGAGAUACUUUGGAUUGCACUUGGAGCUUCUUGUAUGCAAAGCAGGUGCUUUACACUCACAUUUGGUCAUUUCCCCUAACCCUCAUUUUUUUAAAGCCUGCACAAGUGAAGUUUCAUGGCACUGGAGAACAGUGGCUAGGACAAUGGGGAUUAAUAGAAACUGACAAUAUUCCCCUCAUCCCUGCCCCUAAUUUGGAUCUGCAUUAAUACAAAUCUAGAGGGGAUGUGCUGCAGAACUGUUUAGUCCCAGCUCAUUAAUUGACCACUUUAUUUCUUUUCCUUAAAUACAUGACCAAAGCAAUUUAACGGGGCUGUUACAUUACCAUUGGCUAAGACCAAGCAUAAGCUGUGAUUUGAACAGCGAUGGAGAUAUCCAGGUGAAUCGGAGCAGUAAGACGCACAAAGGAAAACAUCAUAAAUCCAUUCAUCUUGCACAGCAUCUCUUUUCUGUGAUUCACGCCAGUUUCCUGCAGCCCCUGCAAUUUCAGGAUGAUUUCACAAGAUUUUCUUAAAAAAGGAAUCCCUGUGCUGAUAAUCAACGGAUCUGCUUUUCGGCCCCUGCGAUGCUUCCAAUGAGUGCCUUCCACGUCACCAAAGUUGGUGAAGUUGAGGCUGGAGGAUGUUCUGCAUCUUCCUUAGCUUCAGGGAAGAUUUGGUACUUUUUCGCAGCUAAUUAAACUGCAGAGUUAGUUCACAGUUACGAAUAGAUCAAGAGCAAAGUGGUUCGUGAUUCUCCGAGACAUGUCAAAAUCUCAAGGGGAAGCUUUGUUUAAAAAUCUUCCACCCACUAUUCUACUGCCACACAGCUUCUUGAGCCCUCACAGACAUGCUCCUUCUAGGUGCAUGUAAAAAAGGUAAAGGACCCCUGGACGCUUAAGUCCAGUCAAAGGCGACUAUGGGGUUGCGGUGCUCAUUUAGAAGACAUCUGAAGGGACCCCUGUUCAGGGAAGUUUUUAAUGUGUGACAUUUUAAUGUAUUUUUAAUCUUUGUUGGAAGCUGCCCAGAGUGGCUGGGGAAACCCAGCCAGAUGGGCGGGGUACAAAUACAGUGGUGCCUCGCAAGACGAAAUUAAUCCGUUCCGCGAGUCUCUUCGUCUUGCGGUUUUUUCGUCUUGCGAAGCAUGGCUAUUAGCGGCUUAGCGGCUUAGCGGCUAUUAGCAGCUUAGCGGCUUAGCGGCUAUUAACGGCUUAGCGGCUUUAAGAAAAAGGAAACAAACUUGCAAGAACUCGCAAGACGUUUCGUCUUGCGAAGCAAGCCCAUAGGGAAAUUUGUCUUGCGGAACGACUCAAAAAAAGGAAAACUCUUUCGUCUAGCGAGUUUUUCGUCUUGCGAGGCAUUCGUCUUGUGGGGCACCACUGUAAUAAAUUGUUAUUAUUAUUAUUAUUAUUAUUAUUAAUCUCGCUUUCAGGCCAAGGGAGCUGACGUUUGAUCACAAACAGCUUUCCAGCUUAGACGAAAUCACUUCUGGUGCAAUGGAACACCGUGACAAAAACCAUAGCACACGAAAUGCCAUUUACCUUCCUGCCAC